rnacentral:rRNA from 1 species
GGCUCAGGAUGAACGCUGGCGGUAUGCUUAACACAUGCAAGUCGAACGAUGUUUUAGGACAUAGUGGCGGACGGGUGAGUAACGCGUAAGAAUCUACCUUCAGGUUUGGGACAACCAUUGGAAACGGUGGCUAAUACCGAAUGUGCCGAGAGGUGAAAGGCUUGCUGCCAUGAAGAAGAGCUUGCGUCUGAUUAGCUAGUUGGUGGGGUAAGAGCCUACCAAGGCGACGAUCAGUAGCUGGUCUGAGAGGAUGAUCAGCCACACUGGGACUGAGACACGGCCCAGACUCCUACGGGAGGCAGCAGUGGGGAAUUUUCCGCAAUGGGCGAAAGCCUGACGGAGCAAUACCGCGUGAGGGAGGAAGGCUCUUGGGUUGUAAACCUCUUUUCUCAGGGAAGAAAAAAAUGACGGUACCUGAGGAAUAAGCAUCGGCUAACUCCGUGCCAGCAGCCGCGGUAAUACGGAGGAUGCAAGCGUUAUCCGGAAUGAUUGGGCGUAAAGGGUCCGCAGGUGGUAGUGUAAGUCUGCUGUUAAAGAGUCACGCUCAACGUGAUAAAAGCAGUGGAAACUACACAACUAGAGUACGGUAGGGGCAGAAGGAAUUCCUGGUGUAGCGGUGAAAUGCGUAGAUAUCAGGAAGAACACCGGUGGCGAAAGCGUUCUGCUAGACCUGUACUGACACUGAGGGACGAAAGCUAGGGGAGCGAAUGGGAUUAGAUACCCCAGUAGUCCUAGCCGUAAACGAUGGAUACUAGGUGUGGCUUGUAUCGACCCGAGCCGUACCGUAGCUAACGCGUUAAGUAUCCCGCCUGGGGAGUACGCA